UAAUGUUAUAAUUCAUAUGUAUCAAAAAAUUAAAAAAGAGAUAUGCCGCGUAUUUAACAACAACGGAUUGCGUAUCACUAUCGAAGCUA